GCCAGCAUGACAUAGUGGUUAGAGCAUUGGACUAGGCCUCUGGAGACCAGGGUUCGAAUCCCAGUUUGGCC